rnacentral:rRNA from 1 species
UACGUAGGGGGCGAGCGUUGUCCGGAAUGAUUGGGCGUAAAGGGCGCGCAGGCGGCCUGUCAAGUCAGUAGUGGAAGUCCAUUUUUCAAGGAUGGAAGUGCUAUAGAAACUGAUGGGCUUGAGUGCAGGAGAGGUUAUCGGAAUUCCCGGUGUAGCGGUGAAAUGCGUAGAGAUCGGGAGGAACACCAGUGGCGAAGGCGGGUAACUGGACUGCAACUGACGCUGAGGCGCGAAAGUGUGGGGAGCAAACAGGAUUAGAUACCCCGGUA